rnacentral:lncRNA from 1 species
UUUACAAAGGGAAAGUCCUCUUUAUAUAUUAAGGGAUCUUCCUCGAAAUAAUCAAAGCAAAGUACAAGGGGUUGGUAGUCUCAGUGUACGGGAAAGUCAGAAUUUUAAGUGACGUCGUCUCGAGUUAUGUCGCUUGGUCCGUCCGCUUGCUGGGGCCGACCUUAUUCGAGUCAGCCUCGAUUAGGCCGUUCUCUACGUCGU